rnacentral:rRNA from 1 species
GGGUUGUGAGGUUAAGCGACUAAGCGUACACGGUGGAUGCCCUGGCAGUCAGAGGCGAUGAAGGACGUGCUAAUCUGCGAUAAGCGUCGGUGAGGUGAUAUGAACCGUUAUAACCGGCGAUUUCCGAAUGGGGAAACCCAGUGUGUUUCGACACACUAUCAUUAACUGAAUCCAUAGGUUAAUGAGGCGAACCGGGGGAACUGAAACAUCUAAGUACCCCGAGGAAAAGAAAUCAACCGAGAUUCCCCCAGUAGCGGCGAGCGAACGGGGAGGAGCCCAGAGCCUGAAUCAGUGUGUGUGUUAGUGGAAGCGUCUGGAAAGGCGUGCGAUACAGGGUGACAGCCCCGUACACAAAAAUGCACAUAUUGUGAGCUCGAUGAGUAGGGCGGGACACGUGGUAUCCUGUCUGAAUAUGGGGGGACCAUCCUCCAAGGCUAAAUACUCCUGACUGACCGAUAGUGAACCAGUACCGUGAGGGAAAGGCGAAAAGAACCCCGGCGAGGGGAGUGAAAAAGAACCUGAAACCGUGUACGUACAAGCAGUGGGAGCCUCUUAAUGGGGUGACUGCGUACCUUUUGUAUAAUGGGUCAGCGACUUAUAUUCUGUAGCAAGGUUAACCGAAUAGGGGAGCCGAAGGGAAACCGAGUCUUAACUGGGCGUUAAGUUGCAGGGUAUAGACCCGAAACCCGGUGAUCUAGCCAUGGGCAGGUUGAAGGUUGGGUAACACUAACUGGAGGACCGAACCGACUAAUGUUGAAAAAUUAGCGGAUGACUUGUGGCUGGGGGUGAAAGGCCAAUCAAACCGGGAGAUAGCUGGUUCUCCCCGAAAGCUAUUUAGGUAGCGCCUCGUGAAUUCAUCUCCGGGGGUAGAGCACUGUUUCGGCAAGGGGGUCAUCCCGACUUACCAACCCGAUGCAAACUGCGAAUACCGGAGAAUGUUAUCACGGGAGACACACGGCGGGUGCUAACGUCCGUCGUGAAGAGGGAAACAACCCAGACCGCCAGCUAAGGUCCCAAAGUCAUGGUUAAGUGGGAAACGAUGUGGGAAGGCCCAGACAGCCAGGAUGUUGGCUUAGAAGCAGCCAUCAUUUAAAGAAAGCGUAAUA